rnacentral:rRNA from 1 species
AUUGAACGCUGGCGGCAGGCUUAACACAUGCAAGUCGAGCGGAGCGAGGGUGCUUGCACCUUAGCUUAGCGGCGGACGGGUGAGUAAUGCUUAGGAAUCUGCCUAUUAGUGGGGGACAACAUUCCGAAAGGGAUGCUAAUACCGCAUACGCCCUACGGGGGAAAGCAGGGGAUCUUCGGACCUUGCGCUAAUAGAUGAGCCUAAGUCGGAUUAGCUAGUUGGUGGGGUAAAGGCCUACCAAGGCGACGAUCUGUAGCGGGUCUGAGAGGAUGAUCCGCCACACUGGGAGUGGGACACGGCCCAGACUCCUACGGGAGGCAGCAGUGGGGAAUAUUGGACAGUGGGCGGAAGCCUGAUCCAGCCAUGCCGCGUGUGUGAAGAAGGCCUUUUGGUUGUAAAGCACUUUAAGCGAGGAGGAGGCUACUAGUAUUAAUACUACUGGAUAGUGGACGUUACUCGCAGAAUAAGCACCGGCUAACUCUGUGCCAGCCGCCGCCGUAA